rnacentral:rRNA from 1 species
UGGGGAAUCUUGCGCAAUGGUCGAACGACUGACGCAGCGACGCCGCGUGUGGGAUGACGCCUUUCGGGGUGUAAACCACUGUUGCCCGGGACGAACACCCGCUUUCGAGUGGGCUGACGGUACCGGGUGAGGAAGCACCGGCUAACUCCGUGCCAGCAGCCGCGGUAAUACGGAGGGUGCGAGCGUUGUCCGGAAUCAUUGGGCGUAAAGGGCGCGUAGGUGGCAGGCCAAGCGUGCGGUGAAAGCUCGGGGCUCAACCCCGGGUCGGCCGUGCGAACUGGCGUGCUGGAGCACUGUAGAGGCAGGCGGAAUUCCGGGUGUAGCGGUGGAAUGCGUAGAGAUCCGGAAGAACACCGGUGGCGAAGGCGGCCUGCUGGGCAGUUGCUGACACUGAGGCGCGACAGCGUGGGGAGCAAACAG